GUUAUAAAUAACAUAAAAUGUUAUUGGCCUAGUAUUUUCAAAUAACAAAGAAUGUUAUUCCCAAGUUAUUUCCGUCUGCUCGGAUAAUCUAAAGUGAGGAAGGUAAAAAAAGCCGAAAAAAUACUUUUCAAGAUUGGAUGGUGUAAAAUGGUAUUUGGUUACAACCUUUGUCUAUACUUUUGAAAAAGUAAUCUAGAAUUGUAAGGACGCCCCCUCCCGGGCAGACGGUCAUAACAAGAUUCAUGCCAUUUCAAUAAAAAAUACUGUUAAAUUAACCUAAAGUGUUAUCAAAUAUUAUUGCAAAAUCCAUUUUUGCAUAAGAGUUUAAUAACAGUUUAUGUUAUCAUAACAAAAUUUGUUGUUGGUCUGAUAUUGGUUGAAGGCCAAAACAACCUGGGAAUAUUUUUUUUGUUAUGGAAAAAUAACUCCAACUGUUAUUAGGAUGAUCGGACGAGUUGGUAAAAUAACAAAAAAGAUUAACAAAGACUUAUUAAUCUGUUAUUACAAUAACAAUCCGAUAACAAAAAAAUCAUAACGGCGAAUAACAAAACUUGUUAUGAAUAACAUAAAAUGUUAUUGGCCUAGUAUUUUCAAAUAACAAAAAAAAAAUGUUACUCCCACGUUAUUUCCGUCUGCUCGGGCAACCGUACUCAUUCCAAUACUUUUACAGCAGUGUUACUAUCGAAAUCUUACCUGUUUCGCCUCAUUUCCUGCCAUCAAUGUGACGUGCCAUUUUGUUCUCUUUUUUAUUAUUGACAGUUUCUUGAAAUUUUCCAUGGACUUUUGAACUGAUAAGCCGUACCGGCCCACACGCAUUACCCUCGGGCUAGAAUCAGCUUGAAAAAUUCCAGCGAAAAAAAGAGCGAACCAAAAACAGAACAAUUCUAAGCGAAACAUGAAACGGACCAUGCAAAUGCAAUGAAAACGAGUUCAGCGAAAUGACGAUGGGGGUGAAACGAAUGAAUGUUUUUUUUUUUUUGUGUGUGUCACAACCAAAAGGAGAUUUGUUUCUUUCGACUUCAAACCAAAAAAAAAAUGAGGCGAAAUGACGUGACAUGAAGGGUAUGGAAAAAAUAAUGGCAAAUAAAAACUCGAUGAGUGUAAUUACUGUACUGUUUUUUUCUCUCAUUUCAUUUAUUACUAAUGUUUUUUCUCUCUUCUGCUUCCUCAACAUGUAAAACGUGUUCAAUCAAUUACAACGACAUGCUCAGUGAAUGCGUGUGUAAGUGUUUUUUUUUGCUUCUCCUUUUACGCUAACUAAGCUUGCAUUUCCUCCAAAUCAAUCGCUUACGUUUUCCUCUAACUUUAAGGUACAUACAUAAAUAAAAUACGGAUGAAAAAACGGGAGGGGCGUGUGUGUGUGUUAGUGUAAAAUAUCUAGUUUUCUAAAAAAAAAGGUUUACAAUAAAUUAAAAACAAAAAAAACGAAGUCUAACCACUAACAAAACCCCAUCAAUUUUUACAUUUUGACGAGAGAUAUCAACAAAAAGGAAAACCGCUCUGCACUUGUAAUUGACGAUUGCACUGGUGCGCGUGAAAGUGUGAAGUUGCGUGUUUGUGUGUGUGUGUAAAAAGUGUAAGUGAUUUCGUUAUUGUCGUUGGUCGGUCGGAAAUUCAAUCGGUUUCGGCAAAUGAGACAACGGAUAAGAAUCGCUUGGCCACAACACAACAGUUUUGUUUUCUUCUUUGCUUGUAUUUUGUUUUGUUUAUUGUUAAACUCUUGUGUUCUCUGAGAAACGAAUCGACGAAGCAGUCUCUGUAACUUUGAACCAGUUACGAACUAACACGAUUUGCUUGUUUUGCUUUUUUUGUUUUUUAUCCUAGCAUUUUUUUUUUGUUUUCAAUAGCAACAGUUGAUUUAUUCGUUAAUUAUAUGCUUUCCUAUAUAUGCUGUGUGUUUUGUUUUGUUGAUUUUUUGUUUGUUUAAUGUUGGUGAUUACAUAGCGUUUGCUUCUUUUUUUUUAUUUUGCUGGUGAUUUUUGUUUUUGUUUAGUUUCCAUUAUUUGCACUAAUGUAUAAGAGAGGUUAAUAAACAUGCGUGUUGUGUUUACAAGAGUUGGAUUUUGCAUUUGAGGAUCGCCCGAAGCCUCCCAUACUGUGUCGUCUCCUUCCUUGGGUUUAAUUUGUGUCGGGAGAGACCCCAGGUUCGGUUAAAAAUGUUCACGAGGGAUGAAACUCAUCCGAAACUGUCGCGCUUUCCAGCCCAUUUUUUGUUACGGUCACAACUCCCCUUUGUUUUGUAAGUGUGUUUGUGUUACGUUUCGUUUAUAUAAAUAUAUAUUCCUUUUAACAACGUGCUCACUUUGCAGUUUGCCUUAAUUUCACCGCCGUUACUUCUCUCUCUC